rnacentral:rRNA from 1 species
UACGGAGGGUGCAAGCGUUAUCCGGAUUCACUGGGUUUAAAGGGUGCGUAGGUGGGCAGGUAAGUCAGUGGUGAAAUCUCCGGGCUUAACCCGGAAACUGCCGUUGAUACUAUUUGUCUUGAAUAUUGUGGAGGUAAGCGGAAUAUGUCAUGUAGCGGUGAAAUGCUUAGAUAUGACAUAGAACACCAAUUGCGAAGGCAGCUUACUACACAAUGAUUGACGCUGAGGCACGAAAGCGUGGGGAUCAAACAGG